GUAUACAUCUUUCGGUUGUACAUACACUAAAAUUGGAACGAUACUCAGAAGAUUAGCAUGGCCCUUGCGACAGGACGACACGCAAAUUCGUGAAACGUUCCAUACCUUU